rnacentral:rRNA from 1 species
UGGGGAAUUUUGGACAAUGGGGGCAACCCUGAUCCAGCAAUGCCGCGUGUGUGAAGAAGGCCUUCGGGUUGUAAAGCACUUUUGUCCGGAAAGAAAACGCCGUGGUUAAUACCCGUGGCGGAUGACGGUACCGGAAGAAUAAGCACCGGCUAACUACGUGCCAGCAGCCGCGGUAAUACGUAGGGUGCAAGCGUUAAUCGGAAUUACUGGGCGUAAAGCGUGCGCAGGCGGUCCGCUAAGACAGAUGUGAAAUCCCCGGGCUUAACCUGGGAACUGCAUUUGUGACUGGCGGGCUAGAGUAUGGCAGAGGGGGGUAGAAUUCCACGUGUAGCAGUGAAAUGCGUAGAGAUGUGGAGGAAUACCGAUGGCGAAGGCAGCCCCCUGGGCCAAUACUGACGCUCAUGCACGAAAGCGUGGGGAGCAAACAGGAUUAGAUACCCUGGUAGUCCACGCCCUAAACGAUGUCAACUAGUUGUCGGGUCUUCAUUGACUUGGUAACGUAGCUAACGCGUGAAGUUGACCGCCUGGGGAGUACGGUCGCAAGAUUAAAACUNAAAGGAAUUGACGGGGUCAUAGCUGUUUCCUG